rnacentral:rRNA from 1 species
AGAGUUUGAUCCUGGCUCAGAUUGAACGCUGGCGGCAUGCCUUACACAUGCAAGUCGAACGGCAGCACGGGUGCUUGCACCUGGUGGCGAGUGGCGAACGGGUGAGUAAUGUAUCGGAACGUACCAUUCAGUGGGGGAUAACUAUCCGAAAGGAUAGCUAAUACCGCAUAUUCUGUGAGCAGGAAAGCAGGGGAUCGCAAGACCUUGCGCUGAUUGAGCGGCCGAUAUCAGAUUAGCUAGUUGGUGGGGUAAAAGCCUACCAAGGCGACGAUCUGUAGCGGGUCUGAGAGGAUGAUCCGCCACACUGGAACUGAGACACGGUCCAGACUCCUACGGGAGGCAGCAGUGGGGAAUUUUGGACAAUGGGCGAAAGCCUGAUCCAGCCAUGCCGCGUGAGUGAAGAAGGCCUUCGGGUUGUAAAGCUCUUUCGGCCGGGAAGAAAUCGCAUGGGCUAAUACCCUGUGUGGAUGACGGUACCGGAAUAAGAAGCACCGGCUAACUACGUGCCAGCAGCCGCGGUAAUACGUAGGGUGCGAGCGUUAAUCGGAAUUACUGGGCGUAAAGCGUGCGCAGGCGGUUUUUUAAGACAGGCGUGAAAUCCCCGGGCUUAACCUGGGAACUGCGCUUGUGACUGGAAGGCUAGAGUACGGCAGAGGGGGGUGGAAUUCCACGUGUAGCAGUGAAAUGCGUAGAGAUGUGGAGGAACACCGAUGGCGAAGGCAGCCCCCUGGGGCCGAUACUGACGCUCAUGCACGAAAGCGUGGGGAGCAAACAGGAUUAGAUACCCCUGGUAGUCCACGCCCUAAACGAUGUCAACUAGGUGUUGGGUGGGUAAAACCAUUUAGUACCGGAGCUAACGCGUGAAGUUGACCGCCUGGGGAGUACGGCCGCAAGGUUAAAACUCAAAGGAAUUGACGG